UAGGUCCAACUCCAGGGCUAACCUCCAGUUGCAACCGCUGCUCCCGCCCACGGGAGGCGCCUCGCACCGCCCCCCGACCCCCUCCAUCCCCUGCACCCACUCACCCACUCCCUGUGGGUCCCGGCAGGCUCUGCCCACCGGCCCGUCCUGGCCUUUCCCCAUCCCGCACACACCUCAGCUCCAGGACACUCUUCCCGGGAGGAACUCUGCUCACAAAGCCCAAGGACCAGACAGAACGGCCCUUCCUCCCCUCACCCACCUGAGCCACCCCAGAAAGCCCUGAGCAGAGGCCAGGCCACCCAGCCCUCCGCCAUGUAUGAACCACCUGGCCCCACACCUUCCAGGUGUCCCAAACCCCUCACCUCACACCUCACCACCACAGCUCUAAUUAUUUUAAAACCCACAUCUUUUUCUUUUUUUUUUCUUCUUGAUCUUUAAAAGAAUAUCAUGACAAAAAAAAAAGAAAAAAAAAAAACACAUCUUAAAUUCAGAUAUGGCCAGACACGGUGGCUCACACCCAUAAUCCCAGCACUUUGGGAGGCCAAGGCGGGCAGAUCAGUUGAGCCCAGGAGUUCAAGACCAGCCUGGGCAACAUAGCAAGACCCUGUCUCUAUUAAAAAUAAAAAUAAAAAUAAAAAAACCCAGGUGCAGUGGUGCCUGUGGUACCAAGUACUCAGGAAGCUGAGGUGGGAAGAUGGCUUGAGCCCAGGAGUUGGAGGCUGCAGUGAGCUACAGUUGCGCCGCUGCACUCCAGCCUGGGUGACAGAAUGAGAACUCUGUCUCUCAGGGAAAAAAAAAAUCGGAAACUGGGGCUGAGAGAGGGCAGGUCACCUGCCAGAGGCCCGCAGGUGGGGCUGGCCCUGCUGCACCUGGAGGGUGGUUCUCUCCCAGCCAGCCUUUCAGGUAGGCACUGUGACUGUCCCCACAGCACAGGUGAGAAAGCUGCGUCACAGAGAACUUGUUAGGUGACUUGCCCAAGGCCACACAGCGGCCAGGGGUGGAGGUGGAAAUGUGAGUCGGGCGGUCUGGCUUCAAUGUCAACACGCGUCACCGCUGCACCUGGCUGUCCUAGAGAUGGUUCUCGAAGACAGUGUGCAGAGACAGGUGUGGGGCAUGGUGGUGGCCAGAGGAUCCCCAGCCCUUCCCGGGCCUGUCCCCACAUAAGGGGCCGCCUCACGCCGCCUUUCUGUCUCUCCUGCCAGCACCUCUGAGACAUCCCUGUACCAGGUCCUGCUGGGGGCAAGGCAGCUAGUGCAGCCGGGGCCACAUGCUAUGUAUGCCCGGGUGAGGCGGGUGGAGAGUAACCCCCUGUACCAAGGCAUGGCCUCCAGCGCGGACGUGGCCCUGGUGGAGCUGGAGGCACCAGUGACCUUCACCAAUUACAUCCUCCCCGUGUGCCUGCCUGACCCCUCGGUGAUCUUUGAGACGGGCAUGAACUGCCGGGUCACCGGCUGGGGCAGCCCCAGUGAGGAAGACCUCCUGCCUAAACCGCGGAUCCUGCAGAAACUCGCUGUGCCCAUCAUCGACACGCCCAAGUGCAACCUGCUCUACAGCAAAGACACCGAGUUUGGCUACCAACCCAAAACCAUCAAGAAUGACAUGCUGUGCGCCGGCUUCGAGGAGGGCAAGAAGGAUGCCUGCAAGGGUGACUCGGGCGGCCCCCUGGUUUGCCUCGUGGGUCAGUCGUGGCUGCAGGCCGGGGUGAUCAGCUGGGGUGAGGGCUGCGCCCGCCAGAACCGCCCAGGUGUCUACAUCCGUGUCACCGCCCACCACAACUGGAUCCAUCGGAUCAUCCCCAAACUGCAGUUCCAGCCAGUGAGGUCGGGCGGCCAGAAGCGACACCCCCGGGGCCAGGAGCCCCUAGAGCAGAGCUCUGCGCCCAGCCUGGCUGCCCACACCAUCCUGCUGGUCCUCCCAGCGCUGCUGUUGCACCUGUGAGCCCCACCAGACUCAUUUGUAAAUAGCGCUCCUUCCUCCCCUCUCAAAUACCGUUAUUUAUGUUUCUUCCAAUAAAAACCCAGCCUGUGUGCCAGCU
rnacentral:sRNA from 1 species